AUGCUUAACACAUGCAAGUCGAACGGGUGCCAGUUGCCCGCAAGGGUGGCUGGCGCUAGUGGCGGACGGGUGAGUAACACGUGGGCAACCUGCCCAAGAGUGUGGGAUAACCCUGCGAAAGCAGAGCUAAUACCGCAUGUGGCUGCCGGAAGGCAUCUUCUGGCAACUAAAGUCGCAAGACGCUCUUGGAUGGGCCCGCGGCCUAUUAGCUAGUUGGUGAGGUAACGGCCCACCAAGGCUGAGAUGGGUAGCUGGUCUGAGAGGACGAUCAGCCACACUGGGACUGAGACACGGCCCAGACUCCUACGGGAGGCAGCAGUGAGGAAUUUUCCGCAAUGGGCGAAAGCCUGACGGAGCAACGCCGCGUGAGGGAUGAAGUCUCUAGGGAUGUAAACCUCUGUUGGGAGGGACGAAGAUCUGACGGUACCUCCUGAGGAAGCCCCGGCUAACUACGUGCCAGCAGCCGCGGUAAUACGUAGGGGGCGAGCGUUAUCCGGAUUUACUGGGCGUAAAGAGUGCGUAGGCGGUUCCGUAAGUUGGUUGUGAAAGUUCGAGGCUCAACCUCGAAACUGCGUCCAAAACUGCGGGGCUGGAGUGCAAGAGAGGCAAGUGGAAUUCCCGGUGUAGUAGUGAAAUGCGUAGAUAUCGGAAGGAACACCAGUGG
rnacentral:rRNA from 1 species